GACGUAGGAGGCGAGCGUUAUCCGGAUUUACUGGGCGUAAAGCGCAUGUAGGCGGUUCGUCAAGUCGUGUGUUAAAGCCCCUGGCUCAACUGGGGGGAGGUCAUGCGAGACUGCCGGACUUGAGGACAGUAGAGGCACGUGGAACUCCCGGUGUAGCGGUGGAAUGCGUAGAGAUCGGGAAGAACACCCGUGGCGAAGGCGACGUGCUGGGCUGUAACUGACGCUGAGAUGCGAAAGUGUGGGGAGCAAACGGG
rnacentral:rRNA from 1 species